rnacentral:tRNA from 1 species
GCCUGAGUGGCUCAGUCAGUUAAGCGUCUGACUUCAGCUCAGGUCAUGAUCUCGUGGUUUGUGAGUUCGAGCCCCACAUCAGGCU